rnacentral:rRNA from 1 species
AGGGCACCACCAGGAGUGGAGCCUGCGGCUCAAUUUGACUCAACACGGGGAAACUCACCCGGCCCGGACACCGUAAGGAUUGACAGAUUGAUAGCUUUUUCAUGAUUCGGUGGAUGGUGGUGCAUGGCCGUUCUUAGUUCGUGGAGCGAUUUGUCUGGUUUAUUCCGAUAACGAGCGAGACUCUGGCCUACUAAAUAGUUGGCGCAUUGCUACUGUGCGCACAACACUUCUUAGAGGGAUUUUCGGUGUUCAGCCGCACGAAAUUGAGCAAUAACAGGUCUGUGAUGCCCUUAGAUGUCCGGGGCUGCACGCGCGCUACACUGGCAAAAUCAGCGUGCUUGUCCUUCCCCGAAAGGGGUUGGUAAACCCGUGAAAAUUUGCCGUGAUUGGGAUCGGACAUUGCAAUUAUUGUCCGUGAACGAGGAAUUCCUUGUAGGGGCGAGUCAUCAACUCGCUCUGAAUACGUCCCUGCCCUUUGUACACACCGCCCGUCGCUGCCCGGGACUGAGCCAUUUCGAG